UUUCACUUUGACAAAAAAAGGUGAAAAGAGAAAACAGCAUUCAGUGUUUGUUUUGCAGGGAACCGUUAUAGAGGCAGUGGGUACCUGGAGCAGACAGAGAGAACGGCACUGCCUGGGAACUACACUUAGCAUCUCAGCACCGAGCUGCCAUAGCUUUGAACUGUGUCUCCACACCAGGCCACCAAAUAGAUACCUGGUUUCCAAACCACAGGUCACAACCCUUCACUGGAUCGAUGAGAUCAUGAAAUCAAGUUUAUGAGUCAGAACAAAUAUUUUAAAAUAAAAGGAAAAAGAGAAAAAAGCUGUGGGUGUAAAGUCAUCUUUGCAACAUUCCGGAAAAGAUUUACACGUGAUCCCGUGACAUGAUCUCAUAAACCAUCUCCAAACACAGAGAACCUCACCUAUUUGGAAAUACAAAAUGAGUAACCAAAUGUACAAAGGCAAGAACCAUGUAGGGGACUUCCCUGGUGGCGCAGUGGUUAAGAAUCCGC